rnacentral:rRNA from 1 species
CAUAUCAAUAAGCGGAGGAAAAGAAACCAACAGGGAUUGCCUCAGUAGCGGCGAGUGAAGCGGCAAAAGCUCAAAUUUGAAAUCUGGCGUCUUUGGCGUCCGAGUUGUAAUUUGAAGAAGGUAUCUUUGGGCCCGGCUCUUGUCUAUGUUCCUUGGAACAGGACGUCACAGAGGGUGAGAAUCCCGUGCGAUGAGAUGGCCCGGGUCUAUGUAAAGUUCCUUCGACGAGUCGAGUUGUUUGGGAAUGCAGCUCUAAGUGGGUGGUAAAUUCCAUCUAAAGCUAAAUAUUGGCGAGAGACCGAUAGCGAACAAGUACAGUGAUGGAAAGAUGAAAAGAACUUUGAAAAGAGAGUGAAAAAGUACGUGAAAUUGUUGAAAGGGAAGGGCUUGAGAUCAGACUUGGUAUUUUGCAAGUUACUCUUUCGGGGGUGGCCUCUGCGGUUUACCGGGCCAGCAUCGGUUUGGAGCGGUAGGAUAAUGGCGGGGGAAUGUGGCACGACUUUGGUUGUGUGUUAUAGCCUCUGACGAUACUGCCAGCCUAGACCGAGGACUGCGGUUUUUACCUAGGAUGUUGGCAUAAUGAUCUUAAGUCGC